UACAGAGGUCUCAAGCGUUGUUCGGAUUCAUUGGGCGUAAAGGGUGCGUAGGCGGCGCGGUAAGUCGGGUGUGAAAUCUCGGAGCUUAACUCCGAAACUGCAUUCGAUACUGCCGUGCUUGAGGACUGGAGAGGAGACUGGAAUUUACGGUGUAGCGGUGAAAUGCGUAGAUAUCGUAAGGAAGACCAGUGGCGAAGGCGGGUCUCUGGACAGUUCCUGACGCUGAGGCACGAAGGUCAGGGUAGCAAACGGG
rnacentral:rRNA from 1 species